AUGUUAUGAUUUGGGCACAAGCAUAAUAAAAUUUUAAACCUUUCUCAUGCGUCAUACAAUGAUUUAGUUUUCUGCUGCUCAAAGUUUGUGAUUUUAGCUCUUCGUUC